rnacentral:rRNA from 1 species
AUUGAACGCUGGCGGAAUGCUUUACACAUGCAAGUCGAGCGGCAGCGCGGCCUUCGGGCUGGCGGCGAGCGGCGAACGGGUGAGUAAUGCAUCGGAACAUGCCCAGUCGUGGGGGAUAACACUUCGAAAGAAGUGCUAAUACCGCAUACGUCCUGAGGGGGAAAGCGGGGGAUCGCAAGACCUCGCGCGAUUGGAGUGGCCGAUGUCAGAUUAGCUAGUUGGUGGGGUAAAGGCCUACCAAGGCGACGAUCUGUAGCUGGUCUGAGAGGAUGAUCAGCCACACUGGGACUGAGACACGGCCCAGACUCCUACGGGAGGCAGCAGUGGGGAAUUUUGGACAAUGGGGGCAACCAUGAUCCAGCCAUUCCGCGUGAGUGAAGAAGGCCUUCGGGUUGUAAAGCUCUUUCGGCAGGAACGAAACGGUGGGCUCUAACAUAGUCCGCUAAUGACGGUACCUGAAGAAGAAGCACCGGCUAACUACGUG